CCUACGGGAGGCUGCAGUGAGGAAUAUUGGUCAAUGGCCGCAGGGCUGAACCAGCCAAGUCGCGUGAGGGAUGACGGCCCUCUGGAUUGUAAACCUCUUUUGUCAGGGAGCAAAGGGCGCCACGUGUGGCGCUUUGCGAGUACCUGAAGAAAAAGCAUCGGCAAACUCCGCGCCAGCAGCCGCGGUAAUACGGAGGAUGCGAGCGUUAUCCGGAUUUAUUGGGUUUAAGGGGUGCGCAGGCGGAAUGUCAAGUCAGCGGUAAAAUUUCGGGGCUCAACCACGACGUGCCGUUGAAACUGGCGUUCUUGAGUGAGCGAGAAGUAUGCGGAAUGCGUGGUGUAGCGGUGAAAUGCAUAGAGAUCACGCAGAACUCCGAUUGCGAAGGCAGCAUACCGGCGCUCAACUGACGCUCAUGCACGAAAGCGUGGGUAUCGAACAGGAUUAGAUACCCUGGUAGUC
rnacentral:rRNA from 1 species